UCUUACACGCUAUCACAACAAAUCAGUCAUGGCCCACGUCCCAUCACCUGCAGAGUGAAAGGACGAGUUGAGGUGACAACAAGUCACUUCCCAUGAUCAUUCAACAUGAUCACUGCCCACGAUCUUUGACAGCAGCAUCACCUACCACGGUUUCUGACAGCCGCCCGUAGGGUGGCGAUGACCAUGCUGCCACCUCAUGUCAUCAUAACAACAUAAAAUAUCUCCUCACCAUUAAUGAGAGGAACAGUACCCCUGGCACUAUAUAUAAACCUUCACACGAAGAGGAAGAUAAUCUCCUGAUACCUAGUAAAAGGCCAACUGAUUUAUAUCUCCCUCUCUAACUAUGGCUAACAAAACCAUCGGAGGGUGCGUCCGGACACCCUGUCUGGAUGUCUUUUGCAGGUAUAACGAUUGAAUCAAGAACCUUUGUAGGUUGAGAUCGCGUGUCCAUCCAUUCAGCAACUGCAUGGAUCGCCAGGGACGCGAGGUAUCAACAUUGGCGCCGUCUGUGGGAAAAAUUUUUAUUUUGAUUCAGUCACUAAAAAAGAUGGCCACACCUUCCCGAAGCCGUUCAUCUGGUAGGGGAGUGGAAGAUGAUUUUGAAUGGCGUUAAACCAUCGAAAAAAGACAGUUGGCAAGCGAACGACAACUGAAAGCUCUCUUCCAAGAGACAGAAAGAUUGAGAGAAGAAAACGUUAUAUUACGCAUCCAGACUUCAACAUCAGGGCCUCCCCGACGUCAGCGUUCAAGGGGCCAAGUAGCAAAUUCAAGGCAUCAACAAGAACCGGAAUCAAUAUAUCCUGGGACGACAGGAGCUAUCCCAGGAGCAUGCAACGUGAGGCCUCAUGAGCCACGCACGCCUAUGCCUCGAGCUCCUCGUGAGGAAAGCUCAGACUCUACUCACUUCUCAGCGAAAAGACAACGUGAUAAAAAAUCUCAGUUGUCAAAUUAGAUGCGCGCAAGACUAGGCCCACAAGAGCCUGGGAGAUCAAGGCCACCAGUGGCCACAACCUGGGCGCCACGCCCUAACCCUGUGGUCACCCCUAUGGUACAGAACGUGCACCCGCAUCGUGACCCCAUGGUCACCCCCGCGAUGCGGAACGUUCACUCGCACCUAGCGGAACAAUCGAUUGGGAGAAACCUCCCAAACGAGCCACCCAUUGGCUCCAUCAGCAAAAGGCUGGAUGACAUGCUCUCCACACCUUUCUGCUCUCAUAUCAUUAGUUACGAGCCCCCAAGGGGAUUCCUCGUACCAAAAUUUUCCACAUACGAUGGAACCAACGAUCCCUUCGAUCACAUCAUGCAUUAUCGACAGCUCAUGACGCUCGAUAUUGGCAAUGAUGCACUACUAUGCAAAGUGUUCCCCGCCAGCCUACAAGGGCAGGCCCUCUCGUGGUUUCAUCGCCUACCUCCCAACUCUGUUGGCAAUUUCAGGGACCUAUCCGAAGCUUUCGUGGGACAAUACUUGUGCUCCGCUCGACACAAGCAAAAUAUCAGCACCCUGCAAAACAUAAAAAUGCAACAUAACGAAUCCUUGAGGGAAUUUGUGAAGCUGUUUGGCCAGGCGGUACUUCAAGUAGAGGCUUGCAGCAUGGAUGUUGUCCUGCAGAUCUUCAAACGAAGCAUCUGUCCAGGCACUCCAUUUUUCGAAUCACUGGCCAAAAAGCCUCCUAUAACGAUGGAUGACUUAUUCAGGCGUGCCAACAAAUAUUCAAUGCUCGAAGAUGACGUGCGUGCAGCCACCCAACAAGUUUUGGUUGCCGGACGGCCAUCUAGAGGUGAUACGGAGAGAAAUGCUAAACCUCCGGAUCAGCCAAGACCAUCCGACCAGAGGCAGGAAGGGCCAAGUCGCCCGGAAAGGCCGCCUCUCACACCCCUUUCCAUAUUGUAUGAGAAACUUCACCCAAUGAUUCAGGGCUUGUCUGACUUCAAAUGGCCUAGACCCAUCGGAACGAACCCCUCCACAAGAGAUCGUAGUCGGAGAUGUGCCUUCCACAAGGAUCAUGGCCAUAUAACAGAGACAUGCCGGGCUCUCCAGUAUCUAGUCGAGAGGCUCAUAAAAGCAGGACAUUUGAAGCAAUACCUCCGCUCAAAUACUAGAGGAAGGGACGCAUCCCAACAUCACAACCCCGGGGCCCCUAGGGCCCUAGUUGCCCCCAAGGCCGUUAUAAACUAUAUUAACGGAGAACCAUCUGACGAGGAGUAUGACUCCAGGUGAAAAAGGCAGAAAUUGUUGCGGGCCGCGUCAAUACGCAAACGAAUCAAUUCCAUCUGGCCUGGGUUAACUGGAAGGGGCCCUCACCCCAUAGAUGGGACAAUCAUCUUUCCACCAGUAGACCCCACCCGAACACUGCAACCACAUCGCGACGCCCUCAUCUUGUCCCUGGAAAUAGGGGACUUCGAUGUGCGGCAUAUCUUGGUUGACCCAGGCAGCUCGGCCGAUCUUGUACAAGCAUCGGUCGUUAGCCACAUGGGACACAGUCUCACAGGCCUUGAAAACCCUGGACGAAUACUAUUCGGGUUCAACGGAUCGUCAACCACAUCCUUGGGAGACAUUAUACUACCGGUCCAAGCUGGUCCAGUCACUCUCAACGUACAAUUCUCGGUGGUACAAGAGUUAUCACCCUUCAAUGUCAUUUUGGGGCGCACAUGGCUCCACUACAUGAAAGCUAUCCCCUCGACAUAUCAUCAAAUGGUAAGUUUUCUCACCAACGAUGGCCAAAUCGACCUAUAUGGCAGCCAAUUAGCCGCUCGCCAAUGCUAUCAGAUAGCACGUGAACCAGGGGCCAAUCAGGAGGAUGCAUCUCCCCCUGAACCCAGCCAUACACAUGACCAAUAGCAAUUAUCGGGUCCGGCAGACAAAGAUCCCCCGGCAGCAGAUCCCUUACAAACAAUCCAAAUUUCGGAGGAAAACACUCACCUCACGAACAUCAGUUCCCUCAUGACGACCGAAGAAACUCAGAGCAUGCAAAAUAUCCUCAAACGAAACCAUGACAUCUUCGCAUGGGCACAUUCUGAUAUGAGGGGAAUUCAUCCCUCUGUUGCAUCUCACAAGCUUAACGUCUUUCCAGCUGCCAGACCCGUCCGGCAGAAGAUUAGACGUUUCCACCCGGAUAGACAAGAAGUUAUCCGGAAUGAGAUUGACAAACUGCUAAAUGUCGGAUUCGUCAGAGAAGUAUCUUAUCCGGAUUGGUUGGCAAACGUAGUGGUGGUACCCAAAAAAGAAGGAAAAUGGCGAGUUUGUGUAGAUUACACCAAUCUCAACAAUGCAUGUCCAAAAGACAGUUUUCCCUUGCCACGAAUAGAUCAAAUUAUGGAUUCCACUUCCGGGCAAGGAAUGCUCUCUUUCUUGAAUGCCUUCUCCGGAUAUCACAAGAUUCUCAUGUCCCUGGAUGACGAAGAAAAGACAGCAUUCAUAACGCCACAUGGCCUCUAUUGCUACAAAGUCAUGUCAUUCGGACUCAAAAAUGCUAGCGCCACUUAUCAGAGAUUGAUGACUAAAAUCUUCAAACCUCUGAUAGGCCACACGGUAGAGGUAUAUAUUGAUGAUAUCGUGGUUAAAAGCAAAACCCGAGAGCAGCAUGUCCUUCACUUACAAGAAGUUUUUCACCUCUUACGAAAGUAUGGCAUGAAGUUAAAUCCUUCUAAAUGCGCAUUUGGCGUAAGUGCUGGCAAAUUUCUGGGAUUUAUGGUCAGCCAAAGGGACAUAGAAGUCAGCCCGGAUCAAGUCAAGGCAGUCAUGGAAACACCCCCUCCCAGGAACAAGAAGGAGCUACAACGACUCACAGGCAAGCUCGUCGCGCUAGGGCGUUUUAUAGCCCGCUUCACUGAUGAAUUGCGACCCUUCUUCUUGGCAAUACGAAAAGCUGGAGCACACGGAUGGACGGACAGUUGCCAAAACGCUUUCGAAAAGAUUAAGCAUUGUCUUACGCAACCACCCAUCUUGAGCAGCCCCAUUCCAAAAGAAAAAUUGUAUAUGUAUUUGGCGGUAUCAGAAUGGGCAAUCAGCGCCGUUCUAUUCCGCUGCCCCUCACCCAAGGAGCAGAAACCUAUCUACUACAUCAACAGGACAUUGGCAGACGUAGAAACCAGAUAUUCAAAAAUGGAGCUAACAGCCUUAGCCCUUCGAAGCGCUGCCCAGAAGCUCCGCCCUUAUUUCCAAGCUCAUCCAGUGAUCGUACUAACUGACCAGCCCCUUCGCAACAUUCUGCACAAGCCAGAUUUAACCGGGAGAAUGCUACAAUGGGCCAUCGAAUUAAGCGAAUUUGGAAUCGAAUUCCAACCCAGAUUGUCCAUGAAAGGCCAAGUAAUGGUUGACUUCAUGCUAGAAUAUUCCCGAAGACCCAGCCAACACCAUGAAUCAAGCAAACAAGAAUGGUGGACCCUACGAGUUGACGGAGCCUCACGCUCAUCAGGCUCUGGAGUUGGGCUCCUACUACAGUCCCCAACUGGGGAACAUUUGGAGCAAGCCAUCCGACUGGGAUUCUCUGCCUCUAACAAUGAAGCAGAAUAUGAGGCCAUCUUGUUCGGAUUGGACCUCGCCCUUGCUCUAUCCGUCUCCAAACUCCGGAUCUACAGUGACUCACAACUCGUGGUAAAACACGUCCAGAAGGAAUAUGAGGCUAAGGACGCACGCAUGGCGCGAUACUUAGCUAAAGUAAGAAACACCUUACAGCAAUUCACAGAAUGGACAAUCGAAAAAAUCAAGCGAGCCGACAAUAGGCGCGCUGACGCCUUGGCCGGCAUAGCUGCCUCCCUCCCUAUCAACGAAGCCAUUCUAUUGCCUAUACAUAUGCAACCCAACCCCUCUGUCGCAGAAAUUUCCACCUGCAAUACCAUUGAGGCACCCCAAGCGGACGGCCAAGAAUGGACGUAUGACAUCGCAGAAUAUAUCCGGACAGGAACUCUACCCGGAGAUCUCAAACAGGCACACAAAGUCCGGGUACAAGCUGCCCGUUUCACCCUGAUUGGGGGGCACCUGUACAAGCGAUCCUUCACAGGACCUUACCUUCGAUGCCUAGGGCAUUCAGAAGCCCAGUAUGUGUUAGCUGAGUUGCAUGAGGGAAUAUGCGGAAAUCAUUCGGGAUGACGAUCUCUGGCACAUAGAGCUCACUCGCAAGGAUACUAUUGGCCAACAAUGAAGAAAGACGCGGCAGCAUAUGUCAAAAGAUGUGGUAAAUGUCAAAGAUAUGCUCUCAUUCCACAUAUGCCAUCAGCAACGUUGAAGUCAGUCUUAGGCCCAUGGCCUUUUGCGCAGUGGGGCAUGGAUAUAGUGGGACCCCUCCCAGCAGCGCCUGCCUAGAAAAAGUUCCUCCUUGUCGCCACUGACUACUUUAGUAAAUGGGUGGAAGCUGAAGCAUAUGCUAGCAUCAAAGACAAAGAUGUCACCAAAUUCAUAUGGAAAAACAUUGUUUGCCGUUUUGGAAUUCCCCAAACCAUCAUAGCUGACAAUGGCCCACAAUUUGAUAGCAUUGCAUUCAGGAAUUUCUGUUCGGAGCUGAACAUCCGGAAUUCAUACUCCACACCGCGAUAUCCUCAAAGUAAUGAGCAAGCAGAAGCUACAAACAAGACCCUAAUCACUGCCUUAAAGAAAAGGCUUGAACAAGCCAAAGGGAAGUGGGUGGAGGAGCUGCCCGGCGUCCUAUGGGCCUACCGAACCACACCCGGACAACCAACAGGAAAUACUCCUUUCGCCAUCGUAUACGGAAUGGAUGCAGUCAUUCCUACUGAAAUAGGUCUCCCUACCAUCCGGACUGACGCAGCAAAACAGAAUGAUGCAAACAUGGAAUUAGGAAGAAAUUUGGAUUGGACGGAUGAAGUAAGAGAAAGUGCAGCCAUCCGGAUGGCAGACUAUCAACAGAGAGCAUCCGCUCACUACAAUCGCAAAGUAAGGCCCAGAAGCUUCAAAAAUGGUACGCUGGUCCUUAGAAAAGUUUUUGAAAACACUGCUGAAGUGGGCGCAGGGAAAUUCCAAGCUAACUGGGAAGGACCCUAUAUAGUGUCUAAAGCAAGUGAAAGUGGAGCCUAUCAUUUACAAAAGUUAGACGGAACUCCAUUGCUUAGACCAUGGAAUGUGUCCAAUUUAAAACAGUACUAUCAAUGAAAAAGCAAGACAAGUACAAAUGGAAAAAAGAAUUGUUUUAUUGAUAUAUAUCAUGUAUGUACAAAGAGGUCUCCGGACCACAAAAAAUACAGAAAGAAGAUUACAAAAGAAAUUGCAAAAAGAAAAGCUAUCAGGGAGCGGGCUUGUCAUGAAGUUGCUUCUCUUCACCCGAAGGAAUUGAAGGGACAUCUUGCUUUAUGCCGUUCUUCUUCAUGCAGCAGCGAUAGCCGAAGAUGAAGGUAUCAUCCACUUGUUUUUUAUAGUCCGCUUCAAGUUUCUUCCUCUCUGCAGCAAACUCCCGCUCUAGCUCUUCUUUUUGCGUUGUUAAGCGUAGCUGCAAAUCUUUUUUCUGCUUCUUUUCAAUUGAAGCCUCCGUCCGGAGUUGCCUCACCUCCCCCCUCAGCCGGGCCACCUCAUCCUCUGCCUCAUACAGGCGGGCGAAUGUUGAUUCCUUCCGGCCCUUAACCUCAGCCAAAUCCGCCCGAAGGGCUUCAUUGUCCUCUCGAACGGUGGAUAAGCUGGCUUCAGCCUCCUCCAGUCUCAAGCGCAACUGGUCUUCAGUAUCUUUGCGCCGAGUGGCGAAGGCCUUCAUAUAAUCAGUGGUCCGCAGCAGGUCAGUGAAAAGAUCGUAUUGAUUGGCCAUGCCGCGGAGACCACUCACCAGCUGCAGACAAACAAACAAAAAAAGCAAAGUUAGAAAUCACACCACAAACACACAUUAGAAUGACAAAGAAUCAAAAAACACAAAGACAGUAUACCGAUUCCACCAUCACGAACAUCUUGGCUGAAGGCAUAACAGUGGUCAAGCCGGGUGGAAUCUGUUUCAGCUUAUUUUCCAACUCCGCGUAGCUAAAAGGGCUAGCGGAGGUGCAAGCCGCGUUAUUAACAAGAUUCCCACCUGAUGAUGCAACAGAAGGAGACUCUUGUUCCGGAUUCAGGGCCUCAACAUUUACGGCUGGAUGGGUCUCCCCGGGUGCAACCUCAUCCGGGACAAUCACCGGGACGGCUGGAGUCUCAGUUGCCAUCUCUACUUCGCCCCCCUCCGGAUGAGCGUCGUAGGCGGAUGAGCAACUAACUUCAAUCUCUUGUUGACGAUCUUGAAGCCGCCCGAUGAGUCCGGACCUCAGAUUGCACACCGAACGAGGCCUCUUUGAAGGUGGCCCCUUCACCAGAACAAGAGCCAGACGGUCCGGAUCGUUAGAGGGCUGACUCUAACUUUCUGCCCCUACUUCCUCCAUCGGGGUUGCACAAACGACUUCAGUUGCAUCGACAUCCGGAUUAGGGGAGUCCGGAUGGUUGAUGGACGCAGCUUCCUCAACCAAAUUAUCCAGACGGGCAACCGCUGCCAAGGAAGUACUCGAGUGGUUCAGCCCCGCGACGUGUCCGGAUCCGCUUGAGAUAGAAUGAGGAGCAGGGUUCACUGGCUCCUCUAUUAUUACCUCCGCCUCAUAAGUAAUUGGCGGAAGAGCAAAAUCCUUGGGAGGAGUGGGCUCCUUCACCCCCUUCCCAUUCUUCACCAGCUUCCUCUUUUUCGCUGGAGCUUUAUUUGGAGGAGAGGCUGCGCGGCGUUUUUGUCCGGGAGCCUUACGAAAGGUUCCUUCGUUCUUUUUCUUCUCCCGAUUAUCCAGGAGCGCUCGGCGUUUUUCAGCGUCAACGUCUUUAAACUCCUGGUAAAUCGAGAGAUCCUUCACAGUAUAAUGCUCCCCAGGCACUACCUCCUUUGGCAUUUUCCUGGGGAGAAUGUUGACAACAUACUCUUGGGACUCCCGGACGGCCGCCAUCAGGUUCCGCGCAGUAAGCAGCCUCUUGUAGCACCUCUCCUUGGCGUCUAUCUCAAACAACUUAUUGAGACAGGCAAAAGACGCCUUUUCCACCCAGUCCACGAUGUGGCCCCUCCUUUCCGGACCUGCAUUGACAGUAACGAAAGGUGAGAAAACCAUCCGAAAAAAUCAACAAAAGACAACAAAAUAAAAGUCGGACAAAAGUCGCAAAGCAAACUUACCCGGAAUCACUAAGGAGUAGUUUGGAGAGAAGGGCCUCGCCGGAUGCUUCGACCCCGCCCAUGCACCCUGGACCAUCACGAGUCCCUUCGCACCUCCCUUCGUUGAGUCCGGCAGCUCCGUCACCAAUUGAAGGGAGGGCAGGUGAGCGGACAUGCUGAAGAUGUCAUUUUUUACCUUCUUCAGCGAGUAAACAAAAAACACCUCCAGCAGCGUAAGGUCGAGGUUGUACAGCAUGUUUAUGAUGCUGCAUCCCAUCAGCACCCGGACGAUGUUGGGAUGAAUGAAGGCGGGUGGAAUCUUGGUGAAAUGGAGGAAUUCCUUGAACAACACCGGCAGAGGGAACCGGAGCCCCGCGUUGAAUUGUUCCUUUGAGAAAAUGACGGUAUCUUGUUCAGCUUUCUCGGUAGACACGACAUCCUCCCCAUUCAGAAAUUCAACAAUUACGCCAUUUGGAAUGCAGAAUCGAUCCCGGAACUCCUUUACGCUCAGUUUGUCUGUAGAUUUCCCAUGAGCGUCGCCGGUGCCGGCAGAUGAAGUAGCUUUCUACUUCGAAGACAUUUUUUAGCCCGAGUUUUACUGAAACCUACAUACAAAAAAGUGCAACAGUCAAACACAGCAAUCCAGAAAAUCAACAAACACCAACAUUCAACACACAGUCGCAAGCUAUUUGCCCAAAGCAAGUCAGAAAUCAAGCCAAUGAACAAACAAGCGCAACAAAUGGAAAACAAAAACAAAAUGCACGUACCAAAUAGAAAUGCCGAGAAGAAAGGUUGAUGUUGCGAUACAAAAUCACCGGCAAGAAAAACUCUAGGGUUUUUUUUUUACUCAGAAAAGCAGAGGAAAGCACAGGAAGAAGAAGAAGCAAAAACUCUCAGAAAAAAAUGCAGUAGGAAAAAUACAACAGUAGGCACAGUAUGCUAUUUAUAGGGGGACAGCCCCUAGGAAAGCCAAAUGCCCAACAAACGUCAUCAUUGAAACGACAUGCUGCCUGGGAAUACCCAGAGUCGGCGGCUCAUCAUAAAUGCCUUUUUGGCUUCCGCACCCCCACUCGCCACGUGGCCCAACCAGACAAAAGGUCGACUUCGGUUUCAAAAAACCAAUUAUUUUUUAACCCGCCCAUUUUUGCUCGGGCAAAAUAGGCAAGUUAAAAAGGGGGGCAUUGUAGGGACCCCUCCCUCCGAGACACGUGGCACGCAUCUUACAGUGACACGUGGCACGCAUCUUACAGUCACACAUUGUCAUCCGGGUCACCCUCAUCCGGAUCUUCCUAUAAAGCACACAUAACACGCUUUUCCCAUCCGGACUACCUCAAGGAAGAGCAAACGACGCUUACAAAACAUAGGCAUCCGGACGGUUUCCAUAAAUGCGUCCGCUCCACAAUACAUCCGGAUAAUCAAUAUAUGUCAUCCGGACAUAAUUGUCCGGAUCAUUGACUAAAGUAAAUCGAGUCUUACACGCUAUCGCAACAAAUCAGCCAUGGCCCACGUCCCAUCACCUGCAGAGUGAAAGGACGAGUUGAGGUGACAACAAGUCACUUCCCAUGAUCAUUCAACAUGAUCACUGCCCACGAUCUCUGACAGCAGCAUCACCUACCACGGUUUCUGACAGCCGCCCGUAGGGUGGCGAUGACCAUGCUGCCACCUCAUGUCAUCAUAACAACAUAUAUCUCCUCACCAUUAAUGAGAGGAACAGUACCCCUGGCACUAUAUAUAAACCUUCACACGAAGAGGAAGGUAAUCUCCUGAUACCUAGUAAAAGGCCAACUGAUUUAUAUCUCCCUCUCUAACUAUGGCUAACAAAACCAUCG
rnacentral:lncRNA from 1 species